UCCUUCCUUCCAAAUAAAGCUGCUCCAAAUCUCUUCCUUUCCUUUCUUCCAGACAAAGCUGUGGGGGACAUUUAAUAUAUAACGAAGAGUAAUAUUUAACGUAUCUUACUACUAAGCAAUUUAAUUUUGUUAUUUUGACCCGGUCGCGACCUAAUAGUCUAUUGGUGUUUAGGGUUUUGUUUUCCGUCUUCCAGUUUAACCUCCGAACAUGGUUUCCGCUCAUGUUUCUUCUCAACCACCAGAAAUCUCUUUUAAACCACCAGAAAUUCUAGAAAUCUGUUCUAAACCACCACCAGAAAAGAAACAGAAAACCGAUAAGCCUGUUGAUGGUGAGAAAAAAGGAUAUGAUCCUGAACUUGGUGAUGAAUCCGAUGAUGCAUGAAUCUAAUGAUGAUUCCGAUGACGAUAGCGGCGGGAAUUGCUAUUGCGGAGGGGAAUGCUAUUGCAAUCCAGAUGAUCCUCUUAUGCAAAAAAUGAUGUCCGGGGACAUGGACUCUGAUGAUGAGCGGGAGUUCGUAAAGAAACACUACUAUAAAGAUACCAGAAGUCUGAUGAUGAGCGGGAGAUUUUGCUAACAUUACUAUAAAGAUACCAGAAGUCCCUGCACAGAGAGAGACCGUUCAAGAGACUGAUUCAGACGAUCAAGAGAAGAUGGAUGAAUUGUUUUGGCAAUACCGAAAACAAGCUGAGGACAGCAAUGGCUUUGAUGUGGAUAACUAUCCGCUUUUACAUUCUUAUUUGGGUUUAAUUAGCCCAAUUUCCUGGCCCAACGAGAGCGAAGGCCUACCAAAGCUUGUCAAAAAGCUCUCAAAAAAGGCAAUUCGGCAGUACAAUAGAGAUUAUAAGGUAAAUUAUGACUUUGUGAAGGUUCAGAAGGCAAAUCAUUAGGUUGCUACUGGUUUUAUCUAUUAUAUUACUUUUGAGGCCAAGGAUGCUAAUGAUGGUGGGUCUAAAAUCUUUCAAGCUGAGGUGUUCGAUGGAAUUAAGAAGACUGAGGUUGUAUCCUGUAGGCCUAAACCUCCUACAUAAUUCAUCAAGGUAAAAUUUAUUCAUUAAUUAGAUUGC